CAGCAGUAGCCGCGGGAAUACGUAGGGCGCAAGCGUUGUCCGGAAUUAUUGGGCGUAAAGAGCUCGUAGGCGGUCUGUCGCGUCUGGUGUGAAAUCCCGAGGCUCAACCUCGGGCUUGCAUCGGGUACGGGCAGACUAGAGUGCGGUAGGGGAGACUGGAAUUCCUGGUGUAGCGGUGGAAUGCGCAGAUAUCAGGAGGAACACCGAUGGCGAAGGCAGGUCUCUGGGCCGCAACUGACGCUGAGGAGCGAAAGCAUGGGGAGCGAACAGGAUUAGAUACCCCGGUAGUCCCUGUCUCUUAUAA
rnacentral:rRNA from 1 species